rnacentral:rRNA from 1 species
AGGACGAACGCUGGCGGCGUGCUUAACACAUGCAAGUCGAGCGGUAAGGCCUUUCGGGGUACACGAGCGGCGAACGGGUGAGUAACACGUGGGUGAUCUGCCCUGCACUCUGGGAUAAGCCUGGGAAACUGGGUCUAAUACCGGAUAUGACCUGCUCUCGCAUGGGGGUGGGUGGAAAGAUUUAUCGGUGCAGGAUGGGCCCGCGGCCUAUCAGUCUUGGUUGGUGGGGUAAUGGCCUACCAAGGCGACGACGGGUAGCCGACCUGAGAGGGUGACCGGCCACACUGGGACUGAGACACGGCCCAGACUCCGUACGGGAGGCAGCGAGUAGGGAAGUAAUUGCACAAGUAGGGACGGAAAGACUGAUGCAGCGACGCCGCGUGAGGAGUGGAAGCCGUUCGGUUAGUAACCUCUUUCAGCGAGGAACGACGACGACGAAGUGACCGUACGUGACGAGAAGAA